GAUGAACGCUGGCGGCGUGCCUAAUACAUGCAAGUCGAGCGAACAGACGAGGAGCUUGCUCCUCUGACGUUAGCGGCGGACGGGUGAGUAACACGUGGAUAACCUACCUAUAAGACUGGGAUAACUUCGGGAAACCGGAGCUAAUACCGGAUAAUAUAUUGAACCGCAUGGUUCAAUAGUGAAAGACGGUUUUGCUGUCACUUAUAGAUGGAUCCGCGCCGCAUUAGCCAGUUGGUAAGGUAACGGCUUACCAAGGCGACGAUGCGUAGCCGACCUGAGAGGGUGAUCGGCCACACUGGAACUGAGACACGGUCCAGACUCCUACGGGAGGCAGCAGUAGGGAAUCUUCCGCAAUGGGCGAAAGCCUGACGGAGCAACGCCGCGUGAGUGAUGAAGGUCUUCGGAUCGUAAAACUCUGUUAUUAGGGAAGAACAAAUGUGUAAGUAACUAUGCACGUCUUGACGGUACCUAAGCAGAAAGCCACGGCUAACUACGU
rnacentral:rRNA from 1 species